GGCUCAACCGUGGAGGGUCAUUGGAAACUGGGAGACUUGAGUGCAGAAGAGGAAAGUGGAAUUCCAUGUGUAGCGGUGAAAUGCGUAGAGAUAUGGAGGAACACCAGUGGCGAAGGCGACUUUCUGGUCUGUAACUGACACUGAGGCGCGAAAGCGUGGGGAGCAAACAGGAUUAGAUACCCUGGUAGUCCACGCCGUAAACGAUGAGUGCUAAGUGUUAGAGGGUUUCCGCCCUUUAGUGCUGAAGUUAACGCAUUAAGCACUCCGCCUGGGGAGUACGGCCGCAAGGCUGAAACUCAAAGGAAUUGACGGGGGCCCGCACAAGCGGUGGAGCAUGUGGUUCAAUUCGAAGCAACGCGCAGAACCUUACCAACCUUUGACAUGUCCCGUAUGGGUACCAGAGAUGGAACCCUUCAGUUCGGCUGGCGGGAACACAGGUGCUGCAUGGCUGUCGUCAGCUCGUGUCGUGAGAUGUUGGGUUAAGUCCCGCAACGAGCGCAACCCUCGCCCUUAGUUGCCAUCAUUCAGUUGGGCACUCUAAGGGGACUGCCGGUGAUAAGCCGCGAGGAAGGUGGGGAUGACGUCAAGUCCUCAUGGCCCUUACAGGUUGGGCUACACACGUGCUACAAUGGCGGUGACAGUGGGAUGCAAUGGGGCAACCCUGCGCAAAUCUCAAAAAGCCGUCUCAGUUCGGAUUGCACUCUGCAACUCGAGUGCAUGAAGUUGGAAUCGCUAGUAAUCGCAGAUCAGCACGCUGCGGUGAAUACGUUCCCGGGCCUUGUACACACCGCCCGUCACACCAUGGGAGUUGGUUUUACCUGAAGACGGUGCGCUAACCGCAAGGAGGCAGCCGGCCACGGUAGGAUCAGCGACUGGGGUGAAGUCGUAACAAGGUAACC
rnacentral:rRNA from 1 species